UUGGAGGAUUUAAAGACUUCAACUUGCAGACUUAAACUUGUAGACUUAAAGAAUUUGAAGACUUUAACUUGCAGACUUGAAGAAUUUGAAGACAUCAACU
rnacentral:pre_miRNA from 1 species